rnacentral:rRNA from 1 species
CCUACGGGAGGCAGCAGUGGGGAAUAUUGCACAAUGGGGGAAACCCUGAUGCAGCGACGCCGCGUGAAGGAAGAAGUAUCUCGGGAUGUAAACUUCUAUCAGCAGGGAAGAAAAUGACGGUACCUGACUCAGAAGCCCCGGCUAACUACGUGCCAGCAGCCGCGGUCAUACGUAGGGGGCCAGCGUUAUCCGGAUUUACUGGGUGUAAAGGGAGCGUAGACGGAAGAGCAAGUCUGAUGGGAAAGGCUGGGGCUUAACCCCAGAACUGCCUUUGAAACUGUGUGUCUAGAGUGCAGGAGAGGUAAGCGGAAUGCGUAGUGUAGCGGUGAAAUGCGUAGAUAUUAGGAGGAACACCAGUUGCGAAGGCGGCUUACCGGACGGCAACUGACGUUGAGGCUCGAAAGCGUGGGGAGCGAACAGGAUUAGAUACCCGAGUAGUC